AUUUCAUUAUAGUCUCUCUCUUGGAGGUGGUGAAUGCAUGUUUCAUUAUAGUCUCUCUCUUGGAGGUGGUGAAUGCAUGUUUCAUUAUAGUCUCUCUCUUGGAGGUGGUGAAUGCAUGUUUCAUUAUAGUCUCUCUCUUGGAGGUGGUGAAUGCAUGUUUCAUUAUAGUCUCUCUCUUGGAGGUGGUGAAUGCAUGUUUCAUUAUAGUCUCUCUCUUGGAGGUGGUGAAUGCAUGUUUCAUUAUAGUCUCUCUCUUGGAGGUGGUGAAUGCAUGUUUCAUUAUAGUCUCUCUCUUGGAGGUGGUGAAUGCAUGUUUCAUUAUAGUCUCUCUCUUGGAGGUGGUGAAUGCAUGUUUCAUUAUAGUCUCUCUCUUGGAGGUGGUGAAUGCACGUUUCAUUAUAGUCUCUCUCUCUUGGAGGUGGUGAAUGCAUGUUUCAUUAUAGUCUCUCUCUUGGAGGUGGUGAAUGCAUGUUUCAGUAUAGUCUCUCUCUUGGAGGUGGUGAAUGCAUGUUU